AAGUCGUAACAAGGUUUCCGUAGGUGAACCUGCGGAAGGAUCAUUAACACGUAUCCACGUAUCAACCAACCGCGAAUUUGUUUUCAAUUUCUCCCUAAGGAGUACAUGAAUCGUGAAUAAAGUAUUGAGUGGGACUUUUCUUUACGAAAGGUCGACUUUGUUCACAUCGAGGAUAGUUUAUUCUGUUACUCGAAAGAUUGUAGUACUCUGAAGGCAAUCCUUUCAUUAUUAAAAUCUCCAUUCAAGAUUCUAGUAAUGGAAAUCAAAUACACCUAUUUCACCACCUUUUUGCUAGUUGACUUGAUUAUGUUGAUUUCAUUUUAGAUUCAAUUCUGGAGUGAUCUCACACGUUUAAAUUACUUAAACGAUCUAAACAACUCUUAGCAAUGGAUAUCUAGGUUCUC
rnacentral:misc_RNA from 1 species